UAGAGAAGUGAAGCGGGAGUCCAUGCAGC
rnacentral:piRNA from 1 species